GUAAAUAAUAAAGGGCGUAUGGUGGAUGCCUAGGCUCUCAGAGGCGAAGAAGGACGUGAUAAGCUGCGAAAAGCUCCGUUUAGGUGCAAAUAACCUUUGAUGCGGAGAUCUCCGAAUGGGAUAACCCAAUAUGUUGAAGACAUAUUAUACCGUAAGGUAGGCAAACGCAGGGAACUGAAACAUCUAAGUACCUGCAGGAGAAGAAAACAAACGUGAUUCCCCCAGUAGCGGCGAGCGACCGGGGAUAAGCCCAAACCGUUAUUGUUUCGGCAGUAGCGGGGUAGUAGGACUGCGACAUUGAUGAAAUAAAUGAAAUGGAACACUUUGGAAAAUGUGAUCACAGAGGGUGAUAAUCCCGUACAUGCAAGUUUAUGAAUCAUAGCAGUAUCCUGAGUAAGUCGGGACACGUGUAAUCCUGACCGAAUCCGCCGGGACCAUCCGGCAAGGCUAAAUACUCCUGAGAGACCGAUAGUGAACCAGUACCGUGAGGGAAAGGUGAAAAGCACUUCGAACAGAAGAGUGAAAUAGUCCCUGAACCCAUACGCCUACAAGCAGUCGGAGCCGCUUCGUGCGGUGACGGCGUGCCUUUUGCAUAAUGAGCCUACGAGUUACUCAUCACCAGCGAGGUUAAGUACUUCAGGUACGUAAGCCGAAGCGAAAGCGAGUCUGAAUAGGGCGUCAAGUUGGUGGUGGUAGACGCGAAACCUAGUGAUCUACCCAUGGGCAGGGUGAAGGUUUGGUAACACAAACUGGAGGCCCGAACCGGUAAACGUUGAAAAGUUUUCGGAUGACCUGUGGGUAGGGGUGAAAGGCCAAUCAAACUGGGAAAUAGCUCGUACUCUCCGAAAUGCAUUUAGGUGCAGCCUCUGUUGUUUUGUUCUAGAGGUAGAGCUACUGAUUGGAUGCGAGGGCUUCACCGCCUAUCAAAUCCGGCCAAACUCCGAAUGCUAGAACAUGAAGACAGGGAGUGAGCCAGCGGGUGCUAAGGUCCGUUGACGAAAGAGGGAGAACUCAGACCAUCAGCUAAGGUCCCCAAUUAUAUGCUAAGUUGGAAUAAAAACGGGGUGGGACUGCUUAGACAGCUAGGAUGUUGGCUUGGAAGCAGCCAUUCAUUUAAAGAGUGCGUAACAGCUCACUAGUCGAGCGGUCCUGCAUGGAUAAUACGCGGGCAUAAGCAUAUAACCGAAGCUAUGGGAUUGUAGAUGAUACAAUCGGUAGGAGAGCAUUCCAUUCAGCAUAGAAGCAGUACCGUGAGGUAUUGUGGAGCGGAUGGAAAAGCAAAUGUAGGCAUAAGUAACGAUAAUGCGGGUGAGAACCCCGCACGCCGAAAGAUCAAGGAUUCCCCGGCAAUGUCAAUCAUCCGGGGGUAAGUCGGAUCCUAAGGGUAAGCCGAGUGGCGAUCCCGAUGGUAAACAGGUUAAUAUUCCUGUACUGAUCAUAACUGCGAUGCAGCGACGCAGAGGUGACACUGCUGCGUACUGACGGAAUAGUACGUUGAAACCCGUAUUCUUUGAUACCGGUAGUGAAGCACGCCGGUAGAGAUGAAAGGUGAUAGUACCGCAAUGCUUCGGUUGCGCGGAUAAUGCAGGUAAGCUGACUGCCAAGAAAACCUGCUAAGCUUCAGGUAAUGAUCAUCCGUACUGUAAACGGACACACGUGAUCAGGUAGAAAAUACUAAGGCGCUCGAGAGAUUCAUGGUUAAGGAACUAGGCAAAAUGGUCCUGUAACUUCGGGAUAAAGGACGCUCCUUGUGAAAGUAGGCCGCAGAUAAUAGGCCCAGGCGACUGUUUACCAAAAACACAUGGCUAUGCUAAUUCGCAAGAAGAUGUAUAUGGCCUGACACCUGCCCGGUGCCGGAAGGUUAAGAGGAGAGCUCAGAGGUAACUCGAAGGUUUGAAUUGAAGCCCCGGUAAACGGCGGCCGUAACUAUAACGGUCCUAAGGUAGCGAAAUUCCUUGUCGGGUAAGUUCCGACCUGCACGAAUGGUGUAACGAUCUGGGUACUGUCUCAACCAUGAGCUCGGUGAAAUUGUAGUUCCGGUGAAGAUGCCGGAUACCCGCAACGGGACGGAAAGACCCCGUGAACCUUUACUGCAGCUUUGCAUUGAUUUUGGGUAACAGAUGUGUAGGAUAGGUCGGAGGCUUUGAUGCUGCGUCGUCAGGCGUAGAGUAGCCGUCGUUGAAAUACGACCCUUUUGUUAUCUGAGGUCUAAUCCCGUUAGGGAGACAUUGCAUGGUGGGUAGUUUGACUGGGGUGGUCGCCUCCAAAAGUGUAACGGAGGCUUCUCAAGGUACCCUCAAGGCGUUUGGUAAUCGUCUGCAGAGUGCAAUGGCAUAAGGGUGCUUGACUGUGAGACCGACACGUCGAUCAGGUUGGAAACAAGAGCAUAGUGAUCCGGUGGUUCCGCAUGGAAGGGCCAUCG
rnacentral:rRNA from 1 species